rnacentral:lncRNA from 1 species
GGAUGGUUGGGCUGGAUGAUCUUGUAGGUCUUUUCCAACCUAGCUAAUUCUAUGAUUCUAUGAUUUUUUUUUUUAGCGUGAAUGUAUAGGCUAGAACAAUACAUCUGAGUCUGUCCUGGUUUCAGCCAAAACAGCAUUAAUAGCACACCAGUCUUUGGUUGUCUCUGAGUGAUGGGAAGACACCUGAGGUGGGGAAAGAGCCAUGGCCAUGAUGGUGUGUGGGCAUGAGGCGCAACAGGUGACCUGAGUUAGGCUAAGUGUUAUUCCAGACCGUGUGACACCACACAGAAGGUUAUCUAGCUGUGGGGAGUGGUCAUGAGGAAGCUGCUGCUCAGGUGCUAUGGGGCUCACUUGGUGGUGGGUGAGACUUUGUGUUGCUGGCAGGCACUGGUUGUCUGUAUUUAUGGCUGCGUGUCUGGUGGUGACUAGCUGCAUUUCAGAUAUGUAUUAUAUAUAGGCAUAUAUAUUGUUUUCAUUGUCCUUUUGUUUCCAUUUUCUUUUCUGUCUUAGUAAAUAGCUCUUAUUUCAACCCAAGAGUUCUAUUUUGUUUCCAGUUCUCUCCCUCAUUCUACCUGGGAGGAAGUGAGCAAAAGGCCUUGUGGUGUUCAGCCGCUGCCAGGUUAUGCCACAAAACAGUCAAUUUGGAAAAGUUGCUUGCUGUAGGUGGCCCUGUUCACUGACACUGAAGUCUGUAAAUGAAAACAAGUUGCUGGAGCAUUUUUAUUUCUUUGAACACAGAAGAAAAUAAAAAGGAAGUGGAGGUAGAAGACA